AUGCAUUAAGUGCCCCGCCUGGGGAGUACGGCCGCAAGGCUAAAACUCAAAGGAAUUGACGGGGGCCCGCACAAGCGGCGGAGCAUGCGGAUUAAUUCGAUGCAACGCGAAGAACCUUACCAAGGCUUGACAUGAACUGGAACAGCGCAGAGAUGUGUUGGCCGCUUGCGGCCGGUUUACAGGUGGUGCAUGGUUGUCGUCAGCUCGUGUCGUGAGAUGUUGGGUUAAGUCCCGCAACGAGCGCAACCCUCGUUCUAUGUUGCCAGCGCGUUAUGGCGGGGACUCAUAGGAGACUGCCGGGGUCAACUCGGAGGAAGGUGGGGACGACGUCAAAUCAUCAUGCCCCUUAUGUCUUGGGUCGACGCGGCCG
rnacentral:rRNA from 1 species